CGGCGGACGGGUGAGUAACACGUGAGUAACCUGCCUUAGACAUUGGGAUAGCCUCGGAAACCGGGAUUAAUACCAAAUGAAAUCACAUAUGCACAUGCAUAAAUGAUCAAAGCUCCGGCGGUCUAAGAUGGACUCGCGUCCCAUUAGCUAGUUGGUGAGGUAACGGCCCACCAAGGCGACGAUGGGUAGCCGGCCUGAGAGGGUGAACGGCCACAUUGGAACUGAGAAACGGUCCAAACUCCUACGGGAGGCAGCAGCA
rnacentral:rRNA from 1 species